AAGACCUCCAGCUAUUUAUGGGUUGAUUACAAGCUCAGUAUGAUUCAAUUGAUGAUUAGAUAGUAGACAUCACCUGUUACGAUUGGAGCCCUGUGGCCAAGAGGACGCCUGUGAACUAUUUCACCUGAUUAGGCCACGCUGGGAUUUUUUGCUUGGGUGAGAGGUCGUGCUUCCCCAGGACACGGGCAGCAGCCUGGAGAGAGGAGUCUCAGAGGGUAACCCUGCUCUUCUCAAAUAUGGAAAGCUCCUAUGUGGAAGGGCAGUGAGUGGGAUUUAUCUUUUUCUGGGGAUUCCAGAUGGCAGAAAAUUAGGCCCACACUGCUGAGCGGGAUUUGAGUGUGAGAAUCCAAGUACAGAAGCUGAAUUUGGGAAAAUAGUCUUGCUAAAGAAAGUGGCAGAUUUUCCCAAUUCCACAUUUUGGAAGUAUCAAGAGCUGUUUCAUGAGAUAAGCUGGCGAGAGGAAAUAGACUACUCUGGUAGGAAACUAGAGCAGGUGGGCAGGAGUGACUUUCCUCUUCUCUUCCUGUUCCUCACACCCACCAGACCCGAGGUCCCCUGCCCGUCUGUUCUCUGCAGCCCCCACUGAAGCCUCAAAGUCCUUGCAAACGUUGCAAUAUCCUGCCUUCCUUCUUCCUUCCUAAAGGCUCCAGCUUUUCUGGGCCAUACCUUUCCAUCUCCGCUACCCCAUCCCCACCUCCUUUAUAAGGCUGUUCCACUCAGGGCUGCUGUUGGCCUUUCUUAGUUACCCCAGGGCCAGGUGACAGACAAAAGCCCCAGUCAAUACUCCAGACCCUGCUGAAAUUACUCAAACUAGCUCAUCCUAAGCCCCUUGUGGUAUGUCAUGCCUCCUGCUUCCAGGGAACUGUGAGCUUAAACUUCUUCCAUUAUGACAGUCAUUUCUGUGUCUGUGUCUGUUGUAAACAAAUCCUGGGUAUAAUUAAAAUACCAUGCAUCAAACUCCAAGAAAAACCAGGAUUCAUCCUCUUCUGUGCUUUUACUGAGCACUGGUCAGAUCCUACUUUGCACUUAGUUGGUAUGAUCUAAGCUUCUCUAUCUAUUUCUCCUGCUAAUCUGCCUGCAAGCCC
rnacentral:lncRNA from 10 species